UUGUGAUGAAACAUAAACUGAAAUAGCUGGAAUUACCGUCAGAUUGUUCAGUGGUGAUCAUAAGGUUUUCUGAAC
rfam:Oryzias latipes DNA, chromosome14, strain: Hd-rR.